UCUCUUCUGCCUCAAAUGGCAAUUAUUCAAACAGUACUCUCCCUUAUCGAAUGCCCUAAUGAUUUGCCCGUCACAGUGGACUCACUCCAUACCUCCCGAAAGUCAACAACUCUUUAAAUGUUUAACAACUCUCAUUGACGCAGACACCCGAUUUAUUUGAUCCCUUUAGCUAUCCCACAAAGAAAAACAGACGCAGUCUUUUCUAUUGCUUUGGCUCAUCCACUGAACCCAAAAGACGACGGAUAAAGGCGAGCCUUGACAUGAUGCAAUAUCACCAUUUGAUGGACCACCAUCACAGAAAGCGCAAAUCUAAAGGACGGAACUAAUCGUGACGUUUUGAGAGACUCGGGCUUAAAUGGGUUGGUAACUGUCUGCAUCCAUCCAACUUGAUCAAAACCUAACACGAAUAUUUAAGCGAGUUGUCGCCUUUCAGAGACGAACGCAAGCACGUGGUGAGGUCUCCCACCAACCCCUUUGCUUCAUAUUUAAAUGCUUCCCCCACUCGGGCGUCUUCAACGUGAGGUACCUGAAUUGUCAUUGGAGGCAUAGAUGGCCCUACAUCAGACACCAAUCACCUGGGCGAGUAAAUCGCCCAUGUAAUCGAAAACGGUGAAUCUUUCUCGAGUGCCGCCAGCCCACCACCACCAACCCUGCCCGUCCUGUUGACGGAGUCAUCAAGCAUCG
rnacentral:lncRNA from 1 species